UGCCUCUGACCCUGAAUACCUCGUAUGCA
rnacentral:piRNA from 1 species